rnacentral:rRNA from 1 species
GGGCCUACGGGGGGCAGCAGUGAGGAAUAUUGGUCAAUGGCCGAGAGGCUGAACCAGCCAAGUCGCGUGAGGGAUGACGGCCCUACGGGUUGUAAACCUCUUUUGUCAGGGAGCAAGACCCGCCACGAGUGGCGGAGCGAGAGUACCCGAAGAAAAAGCAUCGGCUAACUCCGUGCCAGCAGCCGCGGUAAUACGGAGGGUGCGAGCGUUAUCCGGAUUUAUUGGGUUUAAAGGGUGCGCAGGCGGACCAUCAAGUCAGCGGUAAAAAUGCGGAGCUCAACUCCGUCGAGCCGUUGAAACUGCCG